AACAUAACAUAAUAGCCUUAUUAUGUUAAUAUUUAAUUUCUAUAAAAAGAUAGAAUAUGUGUAUUGAGUGCAAUUAUAGCUUAACUUACUAAAAAUACUGAAAUUGGUAUCAAUAAUUAUAAGAUUAGAAUCUACAUCUCUUAACAUGUAUGUCCUUGCUGUCUCUUCUAGGCUGUUCUUAACUUCUCUUAUUUAUCAAAUGUUAUAUGUGAUGCCCUUGUCCUUGUGUUAUCUAUUAACACAUUAACACUGAUUAGCCUCUGUCACUCUUGAGUUACUUAAUAAUCUUAUUAAAAAGUUUUAACUUGAAAAUAAGCAAAAAGAAUGGCUAAGUACCCUUUCAAUGUCAUAGCAGAGCUCUGUCAAACAGGCCUACCUGAGGUUUAUUGAAUUCUAUCAUUUGAUGUAUUAAUUUAGUAUUGAUUGUUGUAUAGAAUCUGUGAAAAUACAUGUUAAUGUGAAGAGUUUUUUUUUGUCUAAGAGACAUGUGAGAUAUUUCUAUUUGAUAGAAAAGAUAAGCCCAAAGGUGAUGAUUUUAUUGUUUUGUAGUCCAUUGGCAGUGUUGUAUCUCAUGGUUGCUGAUUAAACAUGGCCAAAAAUUCCUGACACAACUCCCACUGAGAGGUAGGCCCUAUAUCCUCUCCCCUGGAAUUCAGAUUGGCUCUGUGACUGCUUUGCCCCAUGGAAUGCUGUGAAGGUGAACCUGUGCCAGUUUUUAAGAGUAGGCAUUAGGAGAAUGGGAAUUUUCUCUUGCUGUUCUUUGGAACACCUACACAGGUGACCUAUGCAUCACCAGAUGCACAAAAGGAGCCCCAGAAGCCCUGUGGAGAGGCUCAUUUGCAAGGAGAAUCGAAGUCCUUGGACAAAAGCCUCAGUGGAGCACCCAGUCGAUAGCCAGCACCACUUUGCAUGCCAUUUGGGUGAUCCGGCUUGGAUGUGGGAUCUGCUAGCCUCAGUUCAGCCAUCCCACUGAUGCUGUGUGAAGUGGAGUGUCGCCUUCUGUGUAAGCCCUUUCUAUAGUCCUAAUCCAUAAAACUGUGAGGAAAAAAAAAUUCUGUUUUAAGUCAGUGGAUUUGCAGUUGUUAUGCAGCCUUAGAUAAUCAAAACAGAAUUUGGUACCAGAAGUGGGGUGCCUCUGUAAUGAAAAGAAAUGAAACAGAGUGAAAGAGGUUGCACAGGUUUUAGGAUUAGGUGGUGGGCAAAAGAUGGAAGAGCUUUGAGGAGAUUGUGGUGAGGGCAAGAAGGACUGUGUGGAAAUUUCUACUAGAUUCUGGAGAAAAGCCAAUUCUUAUUAUUCGGUGGUGGAAAGUUAAGCAGCAUUGCCACCUUUGAUAGCAUAAAAAAUAGAAAAUAUACCUGAUACACUAAAAUAUUUGCCUCAGGAGAGUUCUAGGAAAAAUGUUAAAUAUGUCAAAGCAUUUCUCUUAGAUUCAUAUAAUAAGGAAUAAGUAUUAAAAAAGAGUGAGAAAAAGCUCUUUAAUCGGAAGCAAAAACUUAGAGGACAGAUGAAGGAGACAAAUCUUGCUAGGUUCAAACUAAAAUCUCUCAGGAAAUGAUCUAAAUCUCUCAAGACAGUGAAAGACUUUCAGAGUGAGAAAUUCCUUUAUAGUAAAUAUCAAAUCCAGGUGCUACUGGUAAAUCACGACCACAGGGUGAAACUCUCAAGAGUGUGGUUGCAAGACCCUUUGAUGAGCUUAUAAGGAUUUCAAGGCAUGCCUGGCACGGGUUCUAGAAUGUUAAUGGCCUGUCUCAUAGACCAUGCUGCUACUCAGAAAGGCAAUUUGCUCUUCCUGCUCAAAAUGCUUCCUUCAAAUCCUGUGAAGCUUGGACUUACAGAAUUCCUUACUCACCCUCACAUUACUCCAUACAGCCUUGCUUCUGACCAAGGGGCAGCUUUUAGGGAAAAAAAUUGUUCCAAUGUGCUCGUGCUCAUGAAGUUCAAUAGCAUUUACAUGUUACCCAUCAUCCGGAAGCAGCUGGUCGGAUAGGAAGGUGGGAUGACUGUUUCAAGAUUAUUAUGGUGCUAUCUGGGUGACAACACCUUGUAGAACUGGGAUAAUAUUCUUCAGGAUAUAAAGAAUACUUUAAAUCAAUGACAUAUGUAUUAUUACUUUUUCUUUCCAAAGCCAGAAUUCAUGUGUCCAGGAUUUAAGGGGUGGAAAUGAGAGUGAUUUAGCUCACCAUUAUUCCUAGUGAUUCACUGGUGAGAUUUUUGUUUAUUUUUCCUGCGGUGGUGGGGAUCUUCUGGCCCCCAAAAGAGAUAUGACUCCAUUGAAAACACUGUGAUGUUUCCAUUAACCUAGGAUUUAAAAUAGGGUUUUAUUUGCUCAGGCUGCCAUUAAAAACACCACAGACUAACUAGCCUAAACAAUAGGCAUGUUAGUCCAAGAUCAGGUGCUGGCUGAUUCAGUUUCUUUUCUUGAAGGGUUGCUUCUGGACUUGCAAGAUGGCUGCAUCCUCACGGAGUCCUAAUAGGUAGAAAGAUCUGUGCAUCUUGCCUGGUGUUCUGAAAAGUCCAAAAGUAUUGAGGAGGAGAGCGGACAGUCCUGACCACAGUGGGAUUCCAUAAGCAACCAGGAACCAUGGAAUAAAAACACUCGCAGUGAGUAAGCUUUGGAGAUCCCACUCUGGGUGGCACAAAUUAUCCCAUCUAUUUUAAGUAUGAUGCAGUCAACACCUGCUUGAUUGUUCAAAUUUACUUUUCCAUAUGUCCCAUUUCUCUGUUGCUGUAUAACAAACCCCCAGAAUUUAGUCGCUUGGCUUAGAUUCUUCUGUUUACUAUGUUGCUCUUCUCUCUCUUGGUGCCACCAGGCUGACUAGGGGACAUUCAUCUGGCAGCAGGGCUGGGCUGGAGGGAUCAGAGACCUUCACCCAUUUUUCUGGCGAGCCUUGGCAGGGAUGCCCAAAAAGCUGGAGCCAGCUGCAUCCUCCUACUUGGUUCUUCCCAUGUUGCCUCCAGCAGGGAGGUCAGAUUUCUGACACGGAGCUCAGAAUUCCAGAACACAGUGUUGGAAGUCGGCAGUGACAUCAUUUUGCUUCUGCCAACCUGAGUCAGGGUGGGGAAGCUGACCCCACAUCGCCUUGGGGGGCGGGGCAAAGGGCGUGCAGCAUCGUGAACCCACCACUUCACCUUCUCUAGUUCUAGGGCCGUGGCAUUAUUAAGGUCGUAGUUAGGAAAACCUUUGGCUGCAAAACAGUGCAUGGGGCAAGCAAAGGGACUUUUCUCUGUGGAGUCUACAAUUCCUGAAUGGCUACUGCUUUCAUGUAUCUUAACUAAUACUACUUUUUAUGAUCCUUGUGAUUUUAGAGUGUUUAAAGGAUAUGUAAAAUUUCAAAUACCAAAUAAGUAAGCAGGCAUUAUUUCUGGGUCAGUGCUUCCUCUUUCCAAAGAUGAUUAUUUUAAUUGAUCUCUAAGAAUCUUGCACCAGUGGAAUUAUUACAUUUCUAAGGCUGUCCAACACAAAAGCGAAAGCAACACAGGUGCAUAUUGAUAUGCAUGUUUGUAAUACAAAUGACAUUUAUUAAACACCCAAAUAAUUUGGGACAUCAUGAAAUAGAUAAUAUUAUCUGCAUAUUAAAAAUGAGGAAAUAAGAUAUAAAAAUAUUAAGAAAUCCAUCCAAGUUUAAAAAUACAAAAAAGAGUAAAAUUAGAAUUUGAAUCCAUGUUACAGGGUGCCAAAUAUCCAGCAUUUUAUCCCUAAGCUGUGUAGUUAAUUUUUAAAGUGCAUAGUUUAGAAUUAAAAUAAUAUAGCUGUUAAAAUGGCAGCAAAAAAUAUGACCAUAGGCCUGUGUUUAUGCUUCCAACAAAAGACUUGACAUAUUGAUGUACCAAUUCCAUGGGGAAAAAAAAAUAAGAUAAUUUGCAAGGUAAUUAGUAGACAAAUUCAUUAAUACAUACCUUAGAUGCCCAAAUUAUAUAAAAGUAUUAAAACUGUCAGGUAUACAUUGUCUGUUUUAGACAUGUGGAUACCUUAAGUACACGUAUCCUAAGAUCUUUCUAGAUAUUAAUUGAAACCUCAUGGGAUUGAGUCAACCGAGUGGAAGAUGCCUAACCUGAUACAGCCGACUCAUUAAUUCCUCUGUCACUGUCUCUACGGCUCUCACAGCAGUUAGGGUACUUUUAGAACUGAAGCUACAGGCUGUCUUCCCUGUGCUGAGACCCUGCAGUGACUGCACAUCAACUUGGAUCAAAACCAGGCACGAUUAGAAUUGUCUGCACCUGCACAGCUCCCACCCUCAGUUCCAGCCUUACCUCACCUUGUUUCUCCCUCUUUAGGGCAGACACUUCCUCUCCCUGCUCCCUCUGCCUGGAGAGUUUCUCCCCUAGAAGUCUCUGUGGCUAACUUCCCACCUCAGAUCUUUGCUCUAACAUCCCAUCUCAGAUGCAGCCCACCUGGACUAACUGAAAUGUGACAAUAUUCCCAAUCUCUGCCUAAACCCCUGGACCCCAUCCCAUUGCCCACAGCUUUCCUGGUUUCCUCCCCUUCUCCUUCUUUUCCUCUUAUUAUAGCAUUUUUACCCCUUAUUGUUUCUUUUCUAUCUUCUCCAUUAGAAUAUAAGCUCUAGCUGGUGCAAGUUUUUCUUUUGUUCUUUGGUGUACCCCAAGUGUUAGAAUAGUGCUCAGUAAUAGUAGGCAGUCAAGAAUUAUUUGUUAAAUAAAUGAAAUAAAUUUGUAAGUAGUCAUGCUCUAUGAUACCUGGACAUUUAAAGAUGAGCCAGCCUAACCAGAGAAAUACAUUAUGGUUCGAAUUGUAGUUUUGUUCCAGUUUAAUGUGUAUGUGUGUUUUAAUAUAAAAUAAGUGAAAUUGUUUCUAUGGAUUCUGAAUCUCCAACAUUUGUGAGUUUUCCACAGUGAAAUCAAAGCUGAUGCUUAAUGUAUGGAAAGCAAAGCCUGUAAGCACCUAAACCUAAUGUGUUAGUGCACGUUGGAAAAAAAAUGGUACUUUUUACUCUAGAAAACAAUGGCAAAUUUUAUAGCGCAUUGUUUCUGAAUUUUGAAAUAAAAGCAGAUUCGUUCAUGUUUCUAUAAUAAUUUGAAUAACUGAACAAGUGUCUCAUAAUACAUCAAUUAUUAUGCCUGACAGCACUGGAAGAUACUCAACGUGGACCAUCUGGUUUAGGACUGUGGACCGCGGUAUAUAACUCUCUCCUUUGUAUGCAGGAUUCAAAAAGCCAGCAGUCCUGCCCAGGUGUCCAGAGCAUCUACUAAGAUUGCUAGUCUUGCUCACAGAGAGACUGCCUGUGGACUCCCUCUGGCUCUCAGAAAGGCCUGCUGUUUUAAUUUAGAGGGUUUAGCCUCUAUGUCUCACAGCUUGGGUGAUAUUUUUGGUCAAAGCAAAUUUGUCUACGUCGUUUUACUUCCUCCACAUCUUUGGUAGUUUCCACAUAUUUUGAUUUCUGUCCUAUUCCUUCUAAAAUCAUGGUCCUCCAUAAUCUCUGAACUUUCUACAGAUCAUAUUUACAUUACAGUGUAAAAUCACAUAAUUUGUUUCACUUUUUAUUUGUAAAUUUUUAUUUUUAAUGGGAAUUUACUGCUGAGCAAAAACGCCAGGUAGAUAUUAAAACAUUCUUAUAGUUAUAUUUAAGGGAAUAAAGGAAUAAGUGAAACAUUUGUGUAUGCAUGUGUGUGGAUAUGUUUGAGUAUGUGUGCAUGUGUGCUUGUAUGUAUAUGUGCAUGUGUGUAUGUACACAUGUGUAUGUUCACAUGUGUGCAUUUGUGGGUAUAUGUCAAUCAUGCAUCACCUUUCUUCUGGCAGUAAUAACAGUAGUAAUUUCCCAUAAAUUACAGUAAUUUUUUUUUCUUCUGGUAUCUCUCAAUUUUACCAGUUGGAGAAUAAUUUAUUUCAGGGCCAUCUAACCUGAUGUGGGUUAAGUCUUCAAGAAAAUAUGUUUAAUCCAAGAUGAGAAAGGAGAAUGAAUUACUUCCUGUUAUAGGAUAAACUCACCAUGGUCGACUAAGCUAAAAUUAAAGAACUCAGAGAAUGGAGUGCCUAAGGAAAGAAUUGAUCCUUGAUAUUCAUUGUACGUAUAAUUUAAUCACUCCCAUUCGUAUUCCGUUAAUACAAAUUUUAUUACAACUUUCAAACAUACUCAGAGAAUAGGAAGAGUCAGUGAAAAAGAAGAAAGUAUGUAUCAAGUAUCAAUUCAAGUUGCUUCUGAGAUAAUGAAAAAAAGUAAAAUUCACCUUAAAUCCCUAAAGUAGUGAAGUGUCUUCUUGCCUCAUUGUUCUUUCCUUUGCAUCUCAAACCUGAAUUCUAUGAGAGGCUUACAUUUUGUCCCCUUCCAAAUAAUCCUAGUGAGAGGGAAAAUCAGGCAGACUGUUAGCAGGUGAUUAUAUUCAGCUGAGUUCUAAAUAUUGUAAAUGUUUUCUUCUAUAUUUCACAUUUUCCAUUCUACUGCUAAUAAAAUGAUAGGGGUCACAAAAAUGCCAACUCAAACAGAAAAACUGUCCUCUAACUUUACAUUGAUAAUUCAAAGAAUCCAAAGGAUUGUAUAUUGCUUUAUCUAUUUGGACUGUGUAAGUGUAAAAAAGUUUAUUUUCUUGGAAGUUGUCCAAUUUUCCAUUAGUCUUCUCUCUUUCUCAGCUCUGACCCACUGGCCUUGUGGGUUGCCAGUGGCUCAUAAUACAACAUGCAUUUGGCCUUUAAAUCUGUCUAAAAAAACCCAGAGUCCCUGAGCUUGCAGAAUGGAUGGGAAGCACAAUUUCAUUAUAUGGAAGUACUGCAAAAGCACCAAAGAAAUAAACCAGGAGUAUUUUAAAUAACCAGGUAUUUUCCCAGAGCAAUCUCUGGCCCUUUCAAUACCAGGCCCCAGAAGAAGGAGCACGUAAAUACCAUUUCAAGGUAAGUACCAGAGCCUUAUUGGUGUGCACAGAGAACUGCAGAAAUUUCUAUAGCAGAAAGUAUCUUGCAGAAGUCCAAUGAAAAUUCUAACAACCCGAAAUCAUCAUCUGAUUUUAUUGUCACAACUUUGAGAACCUUAGAAUUUUUUUAUAGUCAAUGAUAUAAAUGUUUGUGGGUAUAAACACAUAAACAUAUAAAUAACUUUAUAUAUGCAUACGUGUAUGUGUUUAUGCAUACGUGUAUGUGUUUAUAUAUGCAUGUGGCAAAAGGAGAUCAAUAUAUUAUAUAUCUAAACCUACUUGUUCUCUUUGGAGAACCUCAGUGGUAAACAGCAAAGUAGUGAAGCUUUCAUGAUCAGGGGUCCUGUGGCUCCAUGGGGAGCCGGCCAAUUUGACAGUUGAUGAAGCAUGGCGGCCGUGCACAGGGGGAGAGGAUUACCUGCAAAAUUAGAGCCCUAAGUGGGAAGAACUGGCUGUCAAUGCUGCAGCAACUUAUGUCCUCAUUAAGUGCUCGUGAGGUUUUUCACAUCUCCGUUCAUUUCCUGCUUAAUAUGCGAUUUGGACAUUUUGAGGAAGAAAUCUAAUUUCAAAAUUGUCUAAAUAUGUUUAAUGACAACUAUCAUGCUGCUUGAAAGCACAUCACUCUGAGUGACAUGUAUUGUGUGCACUACUCACUGGUAAACCCAGAAAUCUUUUUUUCUGUGAGAAUUUGUUUUCAGCAGAAAAUAUUAUACUGUUUUUGAAUAACUAGUAGUUAUAUGCUAUGCAAACUGUAUGCUACAUAAACUAUAUAUUGUAUAAAUUAACUGUCACACAAAUUCGGUGCUGCACAUUUAGGGCAAAUUAAUAUGACUAACUAAAUUUUUCUAUUUGCCUUGUGGAAUAAAAACUCAAACAUAUAGAAACAUUUCUCCCUAGGUUUUCCCUCUCUGCAUAAAUUUGUAAAGUUAUUUUCUUUAUUCUAGCGCCCUUCAGGUUCAUAUGUUUCAACACCAGACACAGUGCUUAUCAGACUGAGGGAGGUUCCACUGAAACGCCACUGGGAUGUGCUUGUAGCUCUGGUGGGUGGAUGAGAAGGAACUGCACAUGGGGAUCUCUGGCCCCACUCACUCUUAGUAAGUGAUUUACUCUUCGGACAGUCAGAGAAAUUCACCCAUCGAAAUCCAAUGAGAAAAACCUACGGUGGUGGUAACCAAAUGCUGAAUUGGAAAUCAUGGCUCAAAUUCCCACUGUAAGUUACCAGCAAAGAAAAGUAAGUUACAUGUUGUUCCAUUUAUAUAUAUUUAUAUAUUUUUCUACCUCUAUCAGUCAACAAACAUUUAUUACCACUCUGUGAAAGGCCCUGUAUUUGUAGGAGAUACAGAGAAGCAUAGAAAAAGCCCUUGUUAUCAUGGAAUUUGUGAACUAGGUAAGAAGAUACAGCGGCAGCCCCAGGCCCAUGUCAAGGUCUGUAAACGUCCCUUCUGGUGACCUACAGCCCCGCACACACGUGGAGUAUUUACAGUGUAGUAACGAGCUAGGGUAAAGCUGUAUGUAACUUGUAAAUAGCAAAUAAAUGAUGUAAUUAGUGUUAUGUUAUCGCAGAGCUGUGAGUAACAACCAAAUUAGUGGAUGUACAAGGUCAGACGUGAGCUAGGCUCUGUGGAAUGUGUGGGGCCGAUUUAAAGGUAAAGGCCCCUCAAAUGUCCUCUGACGUCACUGUGCUGGCUCUGUCAACACUGUUCACCGCAGGUGUAUAUGUUUCUAGAGCAGCCUUUUGGGUAUUAUUCCAGAAUGGCUUUUUUUCAGGAAGGUGAACUGAAAUAACAAUGGUUGCUUUUCAGUUUUAUGCAAUGUAUCAUUUUUCAUACGAUGAUUCUUUGUGUUCUUCCUACACAACGUGGCUAUUCACCAAAGGAAGGUGGGCUGAGCAGAGGCAGCCCACAGGGCCCAGUUCAUGAAGCUUGGCAAGGAUAGGAAAGUGAAUUUCAAUGUUUAGUAGCUAGAAACUUGUCCGCCAAAUUUCCCAAACUCCCUAAAAGGAGCUGUUGUAGGGACCACACAGCUGCCUUCCAAGGCUCGUGAGUGAGGGUCCAGUGCUCAGAGUCUGUAGGGACCCAUCUGUAGCACACGCUUCUCGCCUUCCCCUGGGCUGUCCUCUGCUCCACCUGGACUCUGCUUUUCUUCCAACACUUCCAAAGCAGUCCAGCCUUGGAGCCUAUGCACCACAGUCACCUCUGCCUAGGAGGCUUUCCUCAAGGCAUCCUCAGUUCUCAUUACCGUCUUCCUUCAGCUUGGCUAAAACAUCACCUCCCCAGAGACAACUUGUUUUACCAUCAUUUCAAAAACAGCGAAGGGCACAUCUGCCUUUUGUCCACCACUUUUCCUCCAUGACACAUGUUGAAUCCUGACUUGUAUUUUUAUCUUGUUUCUGUAUUUACUCUUCUUCCCACUACCAUCACCUACCACCCCCAACAUACACACACAACAUGAAGCCUUUGAGGUCAGAGAUUCUGUUUUCCAUUGCCUUUUGCUCAACACCUAAAAUAUUGCCUGGCACUCACUGAGCUCUUGAAAAUAUCUGUUGAACAAAUGAACCACAGACCAGUAGGAAUCACAAAACAAGUGCACUGUGUGGGUGUAAUAUUUCCAAAGCAUUUCAAUACUCCACAUCAGAAACUAGAAAAUUAGACAAAUGAUGCUAGUGCCACUUGCAGGUAUCUCAUGGUGAGAUACUUACUUGAAAUCUGUGAAAGGCACAGCAGAUUCAACCCUUUUAGUACUUUGCAGGACUGUGGUUGGUUUAUUGUGCUGUGUGUGUUGUUCUCAGUGAUGCUGCACUGCAUACAAGCAUGCAUCUAAAGUAACCCUAGUGCAUAUAUACAGAGGGCUUUUUGUUGCUGUUGUUGACUAUGUGGAGAUGACUUUAAAAUUGGAUCCAUCUAUUAUUUAUAUCAAAAAACAGUUGUUCUUCUCUCUAAUGCCUUCCUGGCUUUUCAGGACCACUUAGAUUUCUGAGAUUUCCCUCAGGAAAUCUAAGUCUCCCUGGAGAUUUCUAAGUCUCCCUGCAUGCUUUGCCAUUUUGGGUCCAUUCUUCCUGUUGCUUUGACUAUCAGUGGUUAUUCUUCCAAUGAAAGAUCAUUUGGUAGACAUUUCUGUGAAAUGUUUUUCAUCAUACUGUAAAUAGUCACAUCUGGCUUUUUGUCUCCUGACUGCUACUCUUUUUUUUUUCUCCUGUUCUUUUUUUUAAUGUAAACAAUAACAUCUAUAUAUUUACUAGAUAAUAACAUGCGGGCAUCAUUGUUUACAUUAAAAUAAAAUCAAAUGUCUACAUGGAAUGCCAGGGAUUCCUUAAAGUAAAAUUAUAUUAUUGUAUUCAUAUAUUCAUCCGUUUGCUCAACAAACAUUGACAAUGUCUCUGGCAUGAGUCAUGCACUAUGGUCAGUGCUGAUGCCUGAGCAUGGGUAAGAUGCAAUAACCACUGCGAAGCAAACCUCUGUCUGAGUGUGAGUGGAACUAUGUUGUUCUAAUUUUCCUCUUUAUUGCAAUGUCCCAAGCAGAACAGUCCUGGAGACAAAGUAGUCCUUAAAUCAGCCUUCUAUUGCCCUCUUGAGAGCCCCUCAAGCCAGAAGACAAUCCUCUCAUGCAGCCACAUUAUGACUUUAGAUUUGUGUCUCUUUUUAGCCCCUGCUCAGUAUUGUCCCAUGCAGGCUUUCAAAGUUACACAAACACUCCUUUCAGCCAUCUGCUAAGGUUAUAAGGCAAUGUAACAAUUCGUUCAUGUAGUAACUAUCAAAGAUGGUUGUGUUACAGAUGUAACUAUUAAUACUAUUAAGAAUUCCCUGUGGUGCUCUGCACUGUCCCCACUAAUACUCUUCUAGUGAUGGAAAUUUGAGGGCUUCUGGAAGACUUUCAAUAAAAUAAUUUCAGAUGAGGGGAGUCCUGUCUUGAGCACAGUUUAUCCCUCAGCCCCAUAGUGGUAAUCUGUCUUUGUGAACCAAGUAAGUUCGUUCUCAUUGAAAAUCUGAAGUCAAAUGGGUAGUAUUUUGUUCCUAAUAGUUGUUCCAAAAGACAUUGUCUAUCAAUAGCCUCACCUAUCUCAUCUAUAAUGAUGUUUCCUCCUCUCUUUAGAGCAUCAUAUAAUGUCUUUCUUCAGUUUCAAAGAGACAGAAAGAUUACUGAGAUUGCCUUCAAGUCCAAUAGCAAUAAACAUCAACAACAACAACAAAAAACAAGAAUAUAUAAGUGUGGCUUCCCUGCUCAUGCAAAACCCAUAGAAUAAAGAAGAAAUUAAAGCUUUCAAAAAGAAAGGUUUCUUCAUCUGCAAACACUGAGUACCUGCGUUCCCUCAAAGUAAUUCUGAAUGAAUGUUACUUACUGGAGCCAAUGAUGUUAGGAGGAAUCCUUGUGUUGUAA